rfam:Schistosoma margrebowiei strain Zambia genome assembly, scaffold: SMRZ_scaffold0003106
GCACUGCUGACGAGUCCCAUAAUAGGACGAAACGACCGACCAGUGC